UACGUAGGGGGCAAGCGUUGUCCGGAAUUAUUGGGCGUAAAGCGCGUGUAGGCGGUCCGGUAAGUCGGUUGUGAAAGUCCAGGCUCAACCCUGGGAUGCCGAUCGAUACUGCCGGACUAGAGUCCGGAAGAGGCGAGUGGAAAUUCCCGGUGUAGCGGUGAAAUGCGCAGAUAUCGGGAGGAACACCGGGUGGCGAAGGCGGUUCUCUGGGACGGUACUGACGCUGAGACGCGAAAGCGUGGGGAGCGAACAGG
rnacentral:rRNA from 1 species